AUUGAACGCUGGCGGCAGGCCUAACACAUGCAAGUCGAGCGAGCGGCGGGCGGGUGAGGAAUGUAUGGGGACUGCCCGAUAGAGGGGGAUAACUACUGGAAACGGUAUCUAAUACCGCAUACUAUCGGAUAACCCAUAGGGUAUUAGGUAGUAGGUGAGGUAAUGGCUCACCUAGGCGACGAACCCUAGCUGGUCUGAGAGGAUGAUCAGCCACACUGGGACUGAGACACGGCCCAGACUCCUACGGAGGCAGCAGUGGGGAAUAUUGCACAAUGGGCGAAAGCCUGAUGCAGCCAUGCCGCGUGUAUGAAGAAGGCCUUAGGGUGGUAAAGUACUGUCAGUCGGGAGGCGUUACCGACAGAAGAAGCAACGGCUAACUACGUGCCAGCAGCCGCGGUAAUAC
rnacentral:rRNA from 1 species